CUACGGGAGGCAGCAGUGGGGAAUCUUAGACAAUGGGGGAAACCCUGAUCUAGCCAUGCCGCGUGAGUGAUGAAUGCCCUAUGGUCGUAAAGCUCUUUCGCCAGGGAUGAUAAUGACAGUACCUGGUAAAGAAACCCCGGCUAACUCCGUGCCAGCAGCCGCGGUAAUACGGAGGGGGUUAGCGUUGUUCGGAAUUACUGGGCGUAAAGCGCGCGUAGGCGGAUUAGAAAGUUGGGGGUGAAAUCCCGGGGCUCAACCCCGGAACUGCCUCCAAAACUACUAAUCUAGAGUUCGAGAGAGGUGAGUGGAAUUCCGAGUGUAGAGGUGAAAUUCGUAGAUAUUCGGAGGAACACCAGUGGCGAACGCGGCUCACUGGCUCGAUACUGACACUGAGGUGCGAAAGUGUGGGGAGCAAACAGGAUUAGAUACCCUGGUAGUCCACACCGUAAACGAUGAAUGCCAGUCGUCGGGGCGCUUGCGCUUCGGUGACACACCUAACGGAUUAAGCAUUCCGCCUGGGGAGUACGGUCGCAAGAUUAAAACUCAAAG
rnacentral:rRNA from 1 species